UACGACUACAUAUCAGGCAUAUCAAUAAGCGGAGGAAAAGAAACUAACAAGGAUUCCCCUAGUAACGGCGAGUGAAGCGGGAAGAGCUCAAAUUUGAAAUCUUAAAGGGUUUCCCUUUACGAAUUGUAGUUUAAAGAAGUGUUUUCUGUUGGAGUUUCGGUAAAAGUUCUUUGGAAUAGGACAUCAUAGAGGGUGAGAAUCCCGUAUUUGACCGUUACUUUCCAGCUGUGUGAUACACUUUCAAAGAGUCGGAUUGUUUGGGAAUGCAGUCCAAGAUGGGUGGUAAAUUUCAUCUAAAGCUAAAUAUUGGCGAGAGACCGAUAGCGAACAAGUACCGUGAGGGAAAGAUGAAAAGAACUUUGAAAAGAGAGUUAAACAGUACGUGAAAUUGUCAAAAGGGAAGCGUUUGACACCAGUGUUGUUUAGUUGAAAAUCAAUCCAAUAGUUUUUGAUUCUAAGUAGUAUUGACUUCAUCAGCUUGCUGCUUUCUUCUCAGAAAUUAUUGAAUGCACUUUUCAGUUAACAAGUCAACAUCAAUUUCUUUUGUUGUAAAAGGGUAAGAGGAAGGUGGCUUGCGCUUCGGCUCAAGUGUUUAUAGCCUUUUAUCUCUGCAAUCGGAGAGAUUGAGGUCUGCAGCGUAGAUCCUUCGGGGUUAGAUACAUUGGUGCUAAGCUAUAGCCUUGUAUAGACAACUUGUUGACUAUGCUCAGUCAUGUAGCUUACUCGCUGAUGCUAUUUUACCUACGCUUAGGAUGUUGAGUAGCGACAUACGCAC
rnacentral:rRNA from 1 species